ACUAGUCCCAUUCAAUACAAUAGCCGAAGCCCAAAGUAACAAUAAAAAGUCCCUGUUCAAGGGCAGUUGCUAUUGGGGUUACCACUAACGCAUACUUCAUAACUUCAUAACAUGAAUAAGUAAAGUGGCCUAUAUGCUAACAAUGAUGGUUACACGUGGCCACGCACAUUUCAAUCCCAUGCA